CGAAAGCCUGACGGAGCAAUACCGCGUGAGGGAUGACUGCCUAUGGGUUGUAAACCUCUUUUUUCAGGGAGGAACACAAUGACGUGUACCUGAAGAAUAAGCAUCGGCUAACUCCGUGCCAGCAGCCGCGGUAAGACGGAGGAUGCAAGUGUUAUCCGGAAUCACUGGGCGUAAAGCGUCUGUAGGUGGCUUAAUAAGUCAACUGUUAAAUCUUGAAGCUCAACUUCAAAAUCGCAGUCGAAACUAUUAGACUAGAGUAUAGUAGAGGCAAAGGGAAUUUCCAGUGGAGCGGUGAAAUGCGUAGAGAUUGGAAAGAACACCGAUGGCGAAGGCACUUUACUGGGCUAUUACUAACACUCAGAGACGAAAGCUAGGGUAGCAAAUG
rnacentral:rRNA from 1 species